UACGGAGGAUCCGAGCGUUAUCCGGAUUUACUGGGUUUAAAGGGUGCGUAGGCGGGCGCCUAAGUCAGCGGUGAAAUGCAGCGGCUCAACCGUUGAACUGCCGUUGAAACUGGGCGCCUUGGAUGCGGUCGAGGCCGGCGGAAUGCGUGGUGUAGCGGUGAAAUGCUUAGAUAUCACGCAGAACGCCAAUUGCGAAGGCAGCUGGCCGGGCCGCAAUCGACGCUGAGGCACGAAAGCGUGGGGAUCAAAC
rnacentral:rRNA from 1 species